rnacentral:rRNA from 1 species
CCUACGGGAGGCAGCAGUGAGGAAUUUUGCGCAAUGGGGGAAACCCUGACGCAGCGACGCCGCGUGGAGGAUGAAGGCCUUCGGGUCGUAAACUCCUGUCAGAGGUGAAGAAUGCCCGCAAGGGUUUGACGGUAACCUCAAAGGAAGCCCCGGCUAACUACGUGCCAGCAGCCGCGGUAAUACGUAGGGGGCAAACGUUGCUCGGAAUUACUGGGCGUAAAGGGUGAGUAGGCGGCUGGGCAAGUCAAGGAUGAAAUCCCGCGGCUUAACUGCGGAAUGG